AAAUGACAGAGAUAUUGGGAAAAACAUGAAUGUGAAAAUUUCAAAAUAUUCAUGGUUGUUGAUCUUUUUUUUUAAAAAAAGAUAAAUUAUGGUAUCCUAGAGUUUCAUCACCAAGAGCAACUAGGGUGGCUUUUCUUCUUAUUUUUUAUGAAACUAGAAUAGAAGAAGCCCGAUGAAAUUGGGAUGAAGCCAAAAUUUGAA
rnacentral:lncRNA from 1 species